CGUAGCGAAAGUUACGCUAAUACCGCAUACGAUCUACGGAUGAAAGCGGGGGACUCGCAAGAGCCUCGCGCGAUUGGAGCGGCCGAUAUCAGAUUAGGUAGUUGGUGGGGUAAAGGCUCACCAAGCCAACGAUCUGUAGCUGGUCUGAGAGGACGACCAGCCACACUGGAACUGAGACACGGUCCAGACUCCUACGGGAGGCAGCAGUGGGGAAUUUUGGACAAUGGACGCAAGUCUGAUCCAGCCAUUCCGCGUGCAGGAUGAAGGCCCUCGGGUUGUAAACUGCUUUUGUACGGAACGAAAAGGUCUCUAUUAAUACUAGGGGCUCAUGACGGUACCGUAAGAAUAAGCACCGGCUAACUACGUGCCAGCAGCCGCGGUAAUACGUAGGGUGCAAGCGUUAAUCGGAAUUACUGGGCGUAAAGCGUGCGCAGGCGGUUAUGUAAGACAGAGGUGAAAUCCCCGGGCUCAACCUGGGAACUGCCUUUGUGACUGCAUAGCUAGAGUACGGUAGAGGGGGAUGGAAUUCCGCGUGUAGCAGUGAAAUGCGUAGAUAUGCGGAGGAACACCGAUGGCGAAGGCAAUCCCCUGGACCUGUACUGACGCUCAUGCACGAAAGCGUGGGGAGCAAACAGGAUUAGAUACCCUGGUAGUCCACGCCCUAAACGAUGUCAACUGGUUGUUGGGUCUU
rnacentral:rRNA from 1 species